ACGAACCGUGCGAACGUUGUUCGGAUUCACUGGGCUUAAAGGGCGCGUAGGCGGAUUACCAAGUCGGGGGUGAAAUCUUUCGGCUCAACCGGAAAAUAGCCUUCGAUACUGGUAGUCUUGAGGGAGGUAGGGGCAGGUGGAACUUCUGGUGGAGCGGUGAAAUGCGUAGAUAUCAGAAGGAACGCCGGUGGCGAAAGCGACCUGCUGGAUCUCCUCUGACGCUGAGGCGCGAAAGCUAGGGGAGCAAACGGAA
rnacentral:rRNA from 1 species